rnacentral:rRNA from 1 species
AGCCGCGGUAAUACGGAGGGUGCGAGCGUUAAUCGGAAUUACUGGGCGUAAAGACGCAUGCAGGUGGUUUGUUUAAGUUCAGAUGUGAAAGACCCGGGGCGUCAACCUCCGGAAUAGCAUUUGAAACUGGCAGACUAGAGUACUGUAGAGGGGGGUAGGAAGUUUCUAGGUGUAGCGGUGAAAUAGCGUAGAGAUCUGAAGGAAUACCGGUGGCGAAGGCGGCCCCCUCGGACAGAUACUGACACUCAGAUGCGAAAGCGUGGGGAGCAAACAGGAUUAGAUACCCUGGUAG